UACGUAGGGUGCAAGCGUUGUCCGGAAUUAUUGGGCGUAAAGAGCUCGUAGGCGGUUCGUCGCGUCGGCUGUGAAAUCCCGAGGCUCAACCUCGGGUCUGCAGUCGAUACGGGCGGACUGGAGUUCGGCAGGGGAGAUGGAAUUCCGUGGUGUAGCGGUGAAAUGCGCAGAUAUCAGGAGGAACACCGGUGGCGAAGGCGGGUCUCUGGGCCGAUACUGACGUGGAGGAGCGAAAGCGUGGGGAGCGAACAG
rnacentral:rRNA from 1 species